ACGAACGCUGGCGGCAUGCCUAACCCAUGCAAGUCGAACGAGACCUUCGGGUCUAGUGGCGCACGGGUGCGUCACGCGUGGGAACCUGCCCUUAGGUUCGGAAUAACUCCCCGAAAGGGGUGCCAAUACCGGAUAAUGUCUUCGGACCAAAGAUUUAUCGCCUUUGGAUGGGCCCGCGUUGGAUUAGCUAGUUGGUAGGGUAAAAGCCUACCAAGGCGACGAUCCAUAGCUGGUCUGAGAGGAUGAUCAGCCACACUGGGACUGAGACACGGCCCAGACUCCUACGGGAGGCAGCAGUGGGGAAUAUUGGACAAUGGGCGAAAGCCUGAUCCAGCAAUGCCGCGUGAGUGAUGAAGGCCUUAGGGUUGUAAAGCUCUUUUACCCGGGAUGAUAAUGACAGUACCGGGAGAAUAAGCUCCGGCUAACUCCGU
rnacentral:rRNA from 1 species